GGUGGUUCUUGGGUGAGGCACCCCGGAAUCAGGGCUCCCUCCUCUCUGGUUCUGGGUGUAUCACUGGAGAACCAUA
rfam:Myotis lucifugus cont2.39825, whole genome shotgun sequence.